AAGAUUAAGCCAUGCAUGUCUAAGUAUAAACAAAUUCAUACUGUGAAACUGCGAAUGGCUCAUUAAAUCAGUUAUAGUUUAUUUGAUGGUAUCUUGCUACAUGGAUAACUGUGGUAAUUCUAGAGCUAAUACAUGCUUAAAAGCCCCGACUUCUGGAAGGGGUGUAUUUAUUAGAUUCAAAACCAUCGGGUUUCGGCCCUCCUUGGUGAUUCAUAAUAACUUCUCGAACCGCAU
rnacentral:rRNA from 1 species